UACGUAGGGUGCGAGCGUUGUCCGGAAUUAUUGGGCGUAAAGAGCUCGUAGGCGGUUUGUCGCGUCGACUGUGAAAACCUGGGGCUUAACUCUGGGCCUGCAGUCGAUACGGGCAGACUAGAGUGUGGUAGGGGAGACUGGAAUUCCUGGUGUAGCGGUGAAAUGCGCAGAUAUCAGGAGGAACACCGAUGGCGAAGGCAGGUCUCUGGGCCACUACUGACGCUGAGAAGCGAAAGCAUGGGGAGCGAACAGG
rnacentral:rRNA from 1 species